UCUCCAGGGAGAUGUCUGCUUCUUUUCCGCGAGUAACGUAGUGCCUGAGUUACUUCGAUAAUUCGACCGAAAGAUAAGGAUCGUCCUAUCCAUCAUAAAUCAGUAUUUUGUGUGCGUGCAUGCGUGCGUUCGUUCGUGUUGAGCGUGAGCAAACGAGCGAACGAAGUUCAGCCAGCAGCUUCAGGCAUGUUUUCUUGUCCUAAUUCCCGCUUUUCGAAGGAUGGGAAAGGGAGCCCGUGGCCACGAAACGGCAAACUGAACGAGCUACGAAUACGAAAUUAACAGGAACCUCGAGAUUAACAGCUGUUACCGAACGUGAGAAUUCUUUAUUUAUUUCUUUUUUUCUUUCUUUCUUUCUUUAUACUCAUCGAUUCGCUCAUUAGGGUCUCGUAAAAACGCAGUAACUUGCAACAUCGAUCGUGGUCAAAUUCUUUUCUUUUUCUCCUUUUCUUGCUUUCUUUUUUUUAAUUCUUUUUCUUUAUUUAAUCAGUCAAAUAUCAAUUAAUUUGUAUUACUUCAACCGGCGAUACUUUCUUUUCGGUAUGCACGUUUACGCAAUAUUUUGAAACAUUUUUACUGAUAAACUUUUGAUAAUUAUCUUAUACAAAUUUGUUGCGUUUUUUCUCGGCACGUUAAAAUUUGUAAGAUUUUUUUUUUCUUUGGAUUUGAUUAAAAGAUGUAUAAUAUUCUUCGAUUUAAAAGAAUAUAAUAUUCUUCGUUAAGUGAAUGAUUCGAAUUAUUCGAGAUAUGUACAUUUGUUAUUUAAAUUAGAUACUCUUUCUGCUAGCUCGUUUAAUUUUCAUUUUUGUGAAAACUGCAGCCCUCGUCAUGUUUAAUUAUGAUUUUUAUGAAAUUCUCUUGCAUUCUUAAGACGAACUCGCAACAUGGGAAUGUAAACAAGGCAAACAUUUUCGUCCACUCUCAUCUAAAACGUUCCUGUGUGACAUCUCGAGAGGCGGAUAAAAAAAAUAGAAAAUCAAGGAGCUAGAUCGAGCAGUUACGUGUUAAGUUAUAUUGCGGUAAUUGGAGAAAAAAAGAGAAAGAAAUAUAAAAUGAGAAAGAGAAAGAGAAAGAGAGGGAGAGAGAGAGAGAGAGAGAAAGAGAGAGAGAGAGAGAGAGAGAGAGAAAAUAAGUGAGUGAAUGUAUUCGCUCGCCCGUAUAAUUGGAUGCACUGUGCCGGUAAUCCGUUUGAAACGUGUACCGCGAAGAAAAAACUCAGUUGAUUGUGGCGGUGACUCGUGCUGUUAUUCUUCUGGUCAGUUAAUUUCGUAGUUUCUUCUGUGAUCCCGUAAAAAUAAAAGAAAGAAUUUAUAUCUCCUCGAAAGAUAUAACCUUGACGAAUCUGUAAAUCGUGCAGUGAGAAAUCCAACGUUCAAGAGGUCCACUACUCUCGUGUCGUUUCAACGAGCAGGUGCGCCAUGCAUCAGGAAAGGCCAGUCUUCUUUCUUGUUGAUCUUGAUUCUGCCCUUUGGACCGCCACCGAUCCCACCUGCCGAUCACGUGGCUUCCACGAAACAUUCGGCUAAGAACUCGCGUGAUUUACUUUUCGAUUGAACGUUGUGCAUUUUGUUGCACAAGUUGCAAAGUGAAUUAAUUUUGUAUGACGGCGAAAUUCGAGCAUCCAUUUAAGGUCACGUUAACAAGAGUCAAAGGCUACUUUGAAUAAUUUUUUAUAGAUACGUAUAUAUCGCGAGAAUUUUUCUCCUUUUCUCAUAAUAUUUAUUUAUAUUCGAACGAAUGAUACGCUAUGAUAAAUGUACAAUAUUCGUCAAUUCAAUCAAUUUCAAAUUAAUAUUUUUAUUAAAUAAAACUCGUAAUCAUCAUAUUUUAUUUCUAGAAAUUUUCAAAAACUUCUAGAAGUGUCUUAUAUUAAAUUAAAUAAAAGUUAGAGAUUAAAAAAAUGUCCUAGGUAGUAAGAGUAUUGCUAUUUCAAAGACACGAUAGGAAAAGAUAAAUAUUUUUAUUUGUUUACAAUCGUUUCUGUUAGUUGUAGUAAUAGUAGUCUAACAUUAUCACGAAUAAAGAUCUAUAGCUCUAUCGUUCUUUGCAAACAUACGCCCGGAUGCAUAGGACGCAGCUGCUCAUUGACAAUAAAACUUUUACUUAUAGGAUAGUAAUCAUAGCAGUCUCAUAUGAUUCUAGUCGCGCAUCUUGUAAAAUUUGCGUCUGAUCGAUAAUCGAGUAGGUAGACGAAGGGUUACCAUUAGACAGGCAGCACAUUGCAAAAGAUUACGUUCAUUCUCGAGAGAAAGAACAGGUGUAUUCUACCUUCUCGAUAAAUAUCUCGAAAUAUGAAUCAAAGGUGUUUUUCAUAUAUAAGCGUAUACAUAUUUACGUAUAUACAUAUACACGUAAUAUACGCGCGCGUGUGAGUAUGUGUGUGUGUGUGUGUAAAUAUGUAUGUAUGUAUGUAUACAUUUAUUUAUAUUCAAGUCGAUAGAUGUAUUUCGAUGAUCGUCCCUUUAAAAUUCAUGCGUAACUUCCGUUUUAUAUGGAAAGCGUAUCAAGGGAAAGGAAAGAAUCAAGUUGAGUUACGUGUUACGUUGACGGAAUGAAAAAGAUUAAUGAAAUUCGGAAAGUCCAUUAAGGGUAAUUUAUCUUUUUUGAGAAAGUUUACUUCAUGCUUAUUACGUCAAUAACGACAUAGUACACUAUACGUUAUGAAGCAUCGCACGUUAAUUUUAUUUAUUAUUUAUUUUAUUUUGAAUUAUCUUAUUAAAGUUUUGUUGUUCUUUGUUUUAUAGUAUAAAAUCAUUAUCUAUCAUCUAUCAUCUAUUAUUCAUUAUUUUAUAUAGUACCGCUUAAUUAAUAAUGCUUUUUUUUAAAUAACACAUUAAUCACAUGUUCAUACUCAAUUCUAUCAUAAUUUUCUAUCGAUUAUUAUCAUAAUUUUUCUAAUGAUGAUAGAUUCGCUAAUGUUCGAAGAAAAAAUCAAUAUAGCACGUUAUUAGCUAUCUCUUUUUAGAUUGAAAAAUCUGAGAAGCCAAAGGAUACCGUCUCGAUCAUUUCACGCACUAUACGAUCACGUUGCAACGAUUUGUAAUUGAAUAUGAUAGAUCGUUCGAUGGACACUAAAAAAUCGUAGGACUCAAACCUUCUUGGCAAGAUGUCCGAUUGACGACCACCUCUCGAUAGUCAGUUUGCCGACUGGUGACAAUUUGAUGACAAUCAAACAUGCAAGAGAUGAGUUGUUUCUUGAAUGACUGAUCUCGUCUUAAUUGCUGGCAAUUAACAAGUUUUCCUUUCAAAUUCCAUUUAAAUCAUCUACUGUACAUUCUUAAUUCUUUACUACCUGUUGCGUGCCCUAUAAGAAAAAGCUUUGCUGCUAUUUUUGUUCGUUUUUUUCUUUUUUUUCUUUCAUAAUUUUCUUUCAUGAAGGACUUUGCGAGUAUAUUUUUUUUAAAGUUAAAACAUUGUAUUUUGCUUCUCCUUUUUUUUCUUUUUUAAUUUUUUUAUUUAAUCAAGAAAAUGUUAAUCUUCUAAGUUCUUUGUUCGAUAAAUUUACAUUCUUAUUCUAAUUAUCAAUUUCUUCGUGAUAAUUUGUCUUAAUUCAUUAAUGUUAAAUUAUUCUGAAUAUAAUUAUAUCGUCAAUUUAAAAAUCAGUGAACAAUUUUAAAAUUAAAAUCUAUUGUAAAUGGUAAUGUUAAAGUUACGGUUUAAAGAAAAUCGGAAAAAUCGGUGAAUACCACCGUAAUGGUAGUAAUAUGGGCUCUUGGAUACAGCACAUAAUUCUUGUUCCCGAUUUUCUAGAGCCCUCCCGGGCCGGGAGAAAGAGGGAGAACGAAAGAAAAAGAAAGAGAGAGAGAGAGAGAGAGAAAGAGAUAGAGAGAGAAAGAGAGAGAGAGAGAGAAGUAAUAACCGGUGUGGAGUGGUCCGUGUGCUCAUGAAAACGACUGAGGGUGAAAAAGGAAAAGAGUGAACGAGAAAGAAAGAAAGAGAGGGAGAUAAAAAAACUGUAGAAACAAACGAACCGCAGGGUAGCAGCGUACCUAGCUCGUCGUGAUGUUUCUACACUUCUGUAGCAAACUCCGUCGCGUGGUCGUCGUAUACAUCUGAGAAAAGAAAGAAAAAAGAAAAAGAAAAAAGAAAUAAAAAGGGAAAUGAGACUCCGAAUGAUUACUGACCCACAUCCUAGUCUUCACGACAAAGCGUUUCCUCUGUUCCGUUUUUCUUCCAACAGCUUGCUAUUUGGAUAGACAGCAUAGGACGAAGAGGAACGUUAAAAAUCUCGACUCCCUGGGGAAUCCAGCUAGGCUUUCUCACGACGUUUUCGUUGUCGACGGCAUACGAUGAUAAACAAUGCUUCCAUACCGCUUCGAGGGAAGUCUCGUUAUGAUUCCAAAUCGUGGAGAAAAGUAUUUCGAUGCUUGGACGUAGUAGUUCGUUCAAAAGUUUGCCAACAAACGAUAUCUCUCUUUCUCUAUCGUGCAUUGUUUCAGUCGGGUUGUUUGAAUCGAUCAUACACGACAGUGAAUGGAAUAAAUAUUUUUAUUGUUCGUCUCAUUAAAAAAAUGUUUUUUCUUUUUUUCUAA